rnacentral:rRNA from 1 species
AGUGAACGCUGGCGGUAGGCCUAACACAUGCAAGUCGAACGGCAGCACAGUAAGAGCUUGCUCUUACGGGUGGCGAGUGGCGGACGGGUGAGGAAUACAUCGGAAUCUACUUUUUCGUGGGGGAUAACGUAGGGAAACUUACGCUAAUACCGCAUACGACCUACGGGUGAAAGCAGGGGAUCUUCGGGCCUUGCGCGAUUGGAUGAGCCGAUGUCGGAUUAGCUAGUUGGCGGGGUAAAGGCCCACCAAGGCGACGAUCCGUAGCUGGUCUGAGAGGAUGAUCAGCCACACUGGAACUGAGACACGGUCCAGACUCCUACGGGAGGCAGCAGUGGGGAAUAUUGGACAAUGGGCGCAAGCCUGAUCCAGCCAUACCGCGUGGGUGAAGAAGGCCUUCGGGUUGUAAAGCCCUUUUGUUGGGAAAGAAAAGCAGCAGGUUAAUACCCCGCUGUUCUGACGGUACCCAAAGAAUAAGCACCGGCUAACUUCGUG